AGUGUGGUGGUGUAGUGGUUAGCGCUGCUGCCUUGCAGUAAUGAGGUUCUGGGUUCGAGUCCUGGCCAGCCAG